GCGGCAGUAGCUCAGAUUGGAUAGAGCGAAGGUCUACGGAACCUUAGGUCGUGGGUUCGAAUCCUGCCUGCCGCGCCA
rnacentral:tRNA from 1 species